rnacentral:lncRNA from 1 species
CAGGGACAAGGAAACCUCCAGCCCACAAGGCAAGCGGAAUCAGAGUGACUCAUGGUAUUGACUAGAGAGCCAAGGAGAUUUUGCAAAGAAGAUAUGGAGAUCCACAAACGCUUCAACUUUCUUAUUAAAAGAAUGUUU